AACCAGCAUCAAGAGCAGGGUUGACGCCCUCGCCAACCUGCCCUGUCCGGGCAAGGUGGUUCCCGAAAGGGGAUGCGGCCACAAGGCAACAAAGCGGGCCCAU
rnacentral:ncRNA from 10 species